rnacentral:rRNA from 1 species
UACAGAGGUCUCAAGCGUUGUUCGGAUUCAUUGGGCGUAAAGGGUGUGUAGGUGGCGCGCUAAGUCGGGUGUGAAAUUUCGGAGCUUAACUCCGAAACUGCAUUCGAUACUGGCGUGCUUGAGGACUGGAGAGGAGACUGGAAUUUACGGUGUAGCAGUGAAAUGCGUGGAUAUCGAGAGGAACACUCGUGGCGAAGGCGGCUCUCUGGGACGGUACUGACGCUGAGACGCGAAAGCGUGGGGAGCGAACAGG